rnacentral:rRNA from 1 species
CCCGGCGACCGGCGCACGGGUGAGUAACACGUAUGGAACCUGCCCGCAGCAGGGGGAUAAGCGGAAGAAAUUCCGUCUAAUACCGCGUAACACCGCGGAGGGGCAUCCCUCGGCGGUUAAAGAUUCAUCGGCUGCGGAUGGCCAUGCGGCGCAUUAGCUAGUCGGCGGGGUAACGGCCCACCGAGGCGACGAUGCGUAGGGGUUCUGAGAGGAAGGUCCCCCACACUGGUACUGAGACACGGUCCAAACUCCUACGGAAGGCAGCAG